rnacentral:rRNA from 1 species
UUGAGCGGGGGACAACAUUUGGAAACGAAUGCUAAUACCGCAUAACAACUUUAAACACAAGUUUUAAGUUUGAAAGAUGCAAUUGCAUCACUCAAAGAUGACCCCGCGUUGUAUUAGCUAGUUGGUGAGGUAAAGGCUCACAAGGCGAUGAUACAUAGCCGACCUGAGAGGGUGAUCGGCCACAUUGGGACUGAGACACGGCCCAAACUCCUACGGGAGGCAGCAGUAGGGAAUCUUCGGCAAUGGACGAAAGUCUGACCGAGCAACGCCGCGUGAGUGAAGAAGGUUUUCGGAUCGUAAAACUCUGUUGGUAGAGAAGAACGUUGGUGAGAGUGGAAAGCUCAUCAAGUGACGGUAACUACCCAGAAAGGGACGGCUAACUACGUGCCAGCAGCCGCGGUAAUACGUAGGUCCCGAGCGUUGUCCGGAUUUAUUGGGCGUAAAGCGAGCGCAGGUGGUUUAUUAAGUCUGGUGUAAAAGGCAGUGGCUCAACCAUUGUAUGCAUUGGAAACUGGUAGACUUGAGUGCAGGAGAGGAGAGUGGAAUUCCAUGUGUAGCGGUGAAAUGCGUAGAUAUAUGGAGGAACACCGGUGGCGAAAGCGGCUCUCUGGCCUGUAACUGACACUGAGGCUCGAAAGCGUGGGGAGCAAACAGGAUUAGAUACCCUGGUAGUCCACGCCGUAAAAGAUGAGUGCUAGAUGUAGGGAGCUAUAAGUUCUCUGUAUCGCAGCUA